rnacentral:rRNA from 1 species
CGCCUGUUUAACAAAAACAUGUCCUUUUGAAUAUAUUUAAGGUCUAACCUGCCCAAUGAGGAUUUAAAUGGCCGCAGUAUUUUGACUGUGCAAAGGUAGCAUAAUUAUUAGUUUUUUAAUUGAAAGCUUGUAUGAAGGGUUGGACGAGAUAAAAUCUGUCUUUAUUUAAAUUAAAGUAGAAUUUAACUUUUAAGUCAAAAGGCUUAAAUGUUAGUAAAAGACGAGAAGACCCUAUAGAUCUUUAUUUAAUUAAUACUUUAAUAAUUUAGGAUUAAUUUAAUUUAAAGUUUUAAUUAAAUUUUAUUGGGGUAAUAUAAAGAUUAAAUAAAUUCUUUUUAUUUAUUACAUUGAUUUAUGAAUAAAUGAUCCAAUAUUAUUGAUUAUAAGAUUAAGUUACCUUAGGGAUAACAGCGUAAUUUUUUUGGAGAGCUCAUAUCGAUAAAAAAGUUUGCGA